rnacentral:misc_RNA from 1 species
AAUAAACUCUACUCUAUUCUCCUCUCAUUCACUCUCCUCUUCCUUUACAAAAUUACAUCUAUUAAUUCUAGCCACAUCUACCACUCCGAUUCCUCUCCACCCCUUGAACAAAUAAAAAAAGUAAGAAAAAAAGGUUAAAAUCUCUCUACAACCAAAUUAUUAAAAUAAAUAAAAGUACAAAAUCUGUAAUUUGGUAUUAAUUUGGCAAGAAAUUAUGAAGGUUUAUGACCAUCACAGUUAUAUCAUCCAUAUUGCCUCUGCCAAAUGACAUAUCUACAAGCUUUUUGCAACUCUCCACUGAAUUCCCGUCCCUUAGUACUACAUCAACUGCUUCUUGCUCAUUUACCUGCAACGCAAACUUAU